CCCUGCAGCCGCCGCCACUGCCGCCUCAGGACUGGCUGUAUGAUUAGGCCACAAUUUUCAAUGAGUAAACAUAUUCCUCAGUUCUGUGGUGUUCUUGGUCACACAUUUAUGAAGUUUCUGAAGGGCAGUGGAGAUUACUGCCAGGCACAGCACGACCUCUAUGCAGACAACUGAACUGUAGAAAUUCAUUACUACUCCACCAAGAAGCCCCCGUAAGAGUGGUUAACCUGGACACAGAAGGGUUGACUUGAAAUCUGCAGAGCAUUUUACAAGAGUUCUGACCUGGAUGGGGUAAACCUCAGUGCACUUCCUUUCUGUUGCCUCAGUAUUACUGGAUUGAAGAAUUGCUGCUUCUUGUUAGGAGGUUCAUUUCAUUUAUCAUUACUUCCAACUUCAUCCUCAAAGCACUGAGAAUUUCAAGUGGAGUAUAUUGAAGUAGACUUCAGUUUCUUUGCAUCAUUUCUGUAUUCAAUUUUUUAAAUUCUUUCAUAACCCUUUUGAGUGUUUUUUUAACUAAAUUAACAUGGCUCAAAUGAACCACCCAGCUCCUGUAGAAGUCACAUACAAGAACA